AGGAAAUCCUGAGAGAGCCAUCAGCCAUCCAUGGUGACAACAGAGUGUGGGGACCAACAGAGCAGUGUGUGUGGAGAACACUGUGGCUUCUACCAGGGCUGCCUGGAGAGAGAGAGGGUGAAGCUGAGGUCCAGGCAGCCAGAACUGCACAGGCUGGUGCAGGGGAGACAAGCCUCUGGGGACAAGAGGCUGGCACAGGUGUGUGAGAACAGCAGCUCUUGUGGGAGUCAGAAUGGAGAGGCAGGAACGGCCACCACGGCGGGCGAUUGUUGAACCAAGAUUGAGGUAGAUCUGUCGUCUGAGGGCUGAGACAUCCUCGGGAAUUUCACCAAGGGCAGGACAUUACUGCUUUGGCUCUAAGUGGCCUCCCUUACCACUUGAAGCUUGGGUCCAAGAAGGAUAAGGAUCCUUCAGCAAACAUCUCUGACGCCGUCUUCUCCCAGGACGGAAUGAUAGCCAUCUUGCAUUGACAUCCCAGGAUACCCAGAGGUCAGAACACAGAGCAACCAACGCUCUGAGACCCCAGUCCAUUCCUGCAGUACAGGUAGUCCUUCCCAGCAGGCCUGGGUUCAGUUCCAGCUACUGUUCAGUCAGUGCCCUGUGCAGGCAGG
rnacentral:lncRNA from 1 species